GACGAACGCUGGCGGCGUGCCUAAUACAUGCAAGUCGAACGCAGUUGCGAACGGGUGAGUAACGCGUAGGUAACUGCCUGGUAGCGGGGGAUAACUAUUGGAAACGAUAGCUAAUAACGCAUACUACCAGAUGGACCUGCGUUGUAUUAGCUAGUUGGUGGGGUAACGGCUCACCAAGGCCACGAUGCAUAGCCGACCUGAGAGGGUGACCGGCCACACUGGGACUGAGACACGGCCCAGACGCCUACGGGAGGCAGCAGUAGGGAAUCUUCGGCAAUGGACGAAAGCCUGACCGAGCAACGCCGCGUGAGUGAAGAAGGUUUUCGGAUUGUAAAACUCUGUUGUUAGAGAAGCGGUAUCUACAAAAAAAGCAACGGCUAACUACGUGCCAGCAGCCGCGGUAAUAC
rnacentral:rRNA from 1 species